rnacentral:misc_RNA from 1 species
AAAUAAAUGUGCUUUCUGGAAUAAUUUCACAUAGAGAAACAGCAAACAUGCUAACAUGAAAAGAAGCUAAAAAUCAUGCAAUUUAUGUGUUAUUUUCUGGUGAUCGACACCUAAACUGCAACUUGAUAUUCAAUAACCGCAGAUGGACAAUUCUUCAUCAAGUAAUCAUGAAAUGUAACGAGGGAAUCUGACCAGCAUGACACGUCUCUGUAACAGUUUAUUGUUUCUUUCGUCCUCCAUAUUCUUUUCGCCAACCUGCAUUUUCCACUUCUCUAAAUGGCAUGUAUAAAUACACCUCCGUAGCUGUUGAAGUUCCUCGUAGCAAAACCCGUCUCGACAACGUUCAUAAUAUACACUGCCAAUUCCCACCCUUUGUAGCAAUGGAUAUGGUGAAUAGGUUGGUUAAGGAAAAG